GCGCAGGAUAAUGGGCCAUCCCUUGGCCUC
rnacentral:sRNA from 1 species